ACUUCAUUUUUCCCCUAACGCGUUUGGCCGAAGAACCAAAAUUACAAACGACCGAAACCGCCGAAUCUCAAAAAUUCCAAGAAAAAAAAAAAUGAGUCCCUUCGAAUCUCAGAUUUCUCCUGAAUCCGCCAUUGAAGGGGACCCAGAAGCUCAAACCCUCCAUUUCCAAUCUGAAUUCAGCUCUGAACACGAUCGCGACGAGUCAGUUUUUCCUACCUACUGGAACAACACCAAGAAGAACCAGAUCUUGCUCGAGGGUUUUGUCGAGGCUUCGGAUGAGGAUAAUUUGACUAGAACAAAAAGCUUAACAGAUGACGAUCUUGAGGAUCUCAAAGGAUGUGUGGAUCUAGGGUUUGCGUUUUGCUAUGACGAGAUUCCUGAGCUUUGUAACACCUUGCCGGCCCUCGAACUCUGUUAUUCCAUGAACCAGAAGUUUAUGGAUGAACACCAAAAGGUUCCGGAAAAUCCUUUACCCGAGUCGAUGGAUUCUGUUUCCGGUCCCAUUCCGAAUUGGAAGAUCUCUAGUCCUGGUGAUCAUCCAGAAGAUGUUAAGGCCAGGCUCAAAUACUGGGCGCAAGCAGUGGCUUGUACUGUCAGAUUAUGCAACUGAAGGAACUUGAAAAAUUAAACGGCUGAUGUGAAUGGAAAAUUUUCAAGAUUGUUAGAGAAGAUGACACGGGUCUUCUUCUUGAGCUUGUGCUUGGCAAAUGGCAAUCCCUUUUAAAGAAAACAAAACUAAAAAACCAUCUCCAUAAGAUUUUCCAUUUGUAGCCAGAGAUGGGUUUUUUCUGAGACCGUGUAUGUUUGGUUUAAUUUUGAUGAUGGAUGAAGAAAAAAAAGGUGACAACGACGAUGAAGAAGAAUUUCUCAGUGGUGAGAGCCCCAUCAGAGCUUCCACCAACAGCCUUUUGCUUCACACCUCUGUACAUGCUGAGAUUGUGCCAACAAUUUCUGUUCAGUUCACAAAUAUGGCCUGGAUGAAAUAUGAAUACCUGUUUGUUCGAGGUGGGGGAGAAUUGUCUGCUUCGUGUUGGUUUGCAUCUUGAACUUGGAGUUGUUUUCUGGCUUCUUGUAAUAAUAUGACUAGAAUACGAUCAGUUGAUCUAUCUCUUUCUGCCUUGUGUUCCCUUGGUUCUUUGCUUCUGUGGCUUCCUGAGUGCUAACUAUUGUGUUCAGUCCACACAGCAUGGCAGAAGAACUGAACUUACUGCCUUGUACCAAUUUAUGAUUGGUUUUUCUUUUCAUGAUGAAUUGGAGGUGUUUUCUUGUUCUGGAUUGUAAUGUGUAAUGACAUUACUAGAAAACCAUUAGUAUGAUCUGAUCCCUUUUAAUUUUGCUCCUUUU